rnacentral:rRNA from 1 species
ACCUGCCAGUAGUUAUAUGCUGUCUCAAAGACUAAGCCAUGCAUGUGUCAGUGCAAGCUCAUAUAUUGAAGGUGAAACCGCGAAUGGCUCAUUAAAUCAGUUAUGAUUUACUAGUUAUCAGCCUUACUUACUGUGGAUAACUGUGGUAAUUCCAGAGCUAAUACAUGCCUCAACCGCGACUCUGGCCUCCGAUCCAAAGGAGGUAAGAGGGCUUUUAUUAGAUCACAAAACCAAUGAUUGUCGGAUCUCGGUCCGUCAGUGCAAAACCUGUGAUGAAUCUGGAUAACUUGUGCUGAGCGCAUAGCCUCUUGUUGUGCUGGCGCCGCUUCUUCCAAGUAACUGCCUUAUCAGCUUUCGUUUGUAUGUUAAAUGCAUACAGUGGCAAUAACGGGUAACGGGGAAUCGGAGUUUGAUUCCGGAGAGGGAGCCUGAGAAACGGCUACCACAUCCAAGGAAGGCAGCAGGCACGCAAAUUACCCACUCCCAGCUCGGGGAGGUAGUGACGAAAAAUAACAAUGUAAGACUCAUCCGAGGCCUUGCAAUUGGAAUGAGUACACUUUAAAUCCUUUAACGAGUACCAAUUGGAGGGCAAGUCUGGUGCCAGCAGCCGCGGUAAUUCCAGCUCCAAUAGCAUAUAUUAAUGUUGUUGCGGUUAAAAAGCUCGUAGUUGGCACUGCAAGGCAGAGCCACGGGACGCCGCCUGGCGAUUCCGUCGGUCUUCUGCAGUGCUCCUCCUCUACCCGAAAGGUGUAGACGGAGGGGACAUGCUGGCUAUCACGGGAUGCCCUUCACCGGGUGUCGCGAGUGGCCAGCAAGUUUACUGUGAAAAAAUUAGAGUGCUUAAAGCAGGCAAAACUUAAUGCCUGAAUAAUGUAUCAUGGAAUAAUGGAAUAGGACCUUGGUUCUAUUUUGUUGGUUUUUUCUUGAGCCCAAGGUAAUGACUAAUAGGGACAGUCGGGGGCAUAUGUAUUGCGACGCUAGAGGUGAAAUUCUUGGAUCGUCGCAAGACAAACAACUGCGAAAGCAUUUGCCAAGGAUGUUUUCAUUAAUCAAGAACGAAAGUUAGAGGUUCGAAGGCGAUCAGAUACCGCCCUAGUUCUAACCAUAAACGAUGCUGACCAGCAAUCCGUCGGAGUUAUAACCACGAUCCGAACGGGCGACUUCCGGGAAACCAAAGUCUUUGAGUUCCGGGGGAAGUAUGGUUGCAAAGCUGAAACUUAAAGGAAUUGACGGAAGGGCACCACCAGGAGUGGAGCCUGCGGCUUAAUUUGACUCAACACGGGGAACCUCACCAGGCCCAGACACUGGAAGGAUUGACAGAAUGAGAGCUCUUUCUCGAUUCAGUGGGUGGUGGUGCAUGGCCGUUCUUAGUUGGUGGAGUGAUUUGUCUGGCUAAUUCCGAUAACGAACGAGACUCUAGCCUACUAAGUAGUCGAUGGAUUCAAUGAUGCACAGCCCCUGCACGGCAUACUCUUUCCUUCAUCGGAUCGGGUUGCAGUCGCAGCGGGUCGCAUCUACGACGUCCAUUCGAUCCGAAUUCUUCUUAGAGGGAUAAGCAGCAAAUCUAGCUGCACGAGAUUGAGCAAUAACAGGUCUGUGAUGCCCUUAGAUGUUCUGGGCUGCACGCGCGCUACACUGAAGGGAGCAGCGUGCUUUCCCUCUCCGAGAGGAGAGGGUAACCCGCUGAAAACCCUUCUUGAUAGGGAUUGGGGCUUGCAAUUGUUCCCCAUGAACGAGGAAUUCCCAGUAAGCGCAAGUCAUCAUCUUGCGUUGACUACGUCCCUGCCCUUUGUACACACCGCCCGUCGCUACUACCGAUUGAAUGAUUUAGUGAGGACUUUGGACUGGCCAUCUUGGAUGCCUUAUGAAAGGCCAGGCUGUCGCAGCGGUGGUUCUAUUGCUGCCGCUGUGAUGUAUGUCUGGUUGCUCCAAGACACGUCGGAAAGAUGUCCGAACUUGAUCACUUAGAGGAAGUAAAAGUCGUAACAAGGUUUCCGUAGGUGAACCU